UACGUAGGGUGCAAGCGUUGUCCGGAAUUAUUGGGCGUAAAGAGCUCGUAGGCGGUGUGUCACGUCGGCCGUGAAAACCUGGGGCUUAACUCUGGGCGUGCGGUCGAUACGGGCAUCACUGGAGUUCGGCAGGGGAGACUGGAAUUCCUGGUGUAGCGGUGAAAUGCGCAGAUAUCAGGAGGAACACCGGUGGCGAAGGCGGGUCUCUGGGCCGAUACUGACGCUGAGGAGCGAAAGCAUGGGUAGCGAACAGG
rnacentral:rRNA from 1 species